rnacentral:misc_RNA from 1 species
AAAUCGCGUUACGUAGUGUGAUGCGCAGAAGCUUCCGUGAUCCAUCGAAUUUUCGAACGCAUUAGCACCGCAGGUGCAAGCCUACGGUGGGUAAGAAUCAGCGCAGGAUAAUCGCAAAAAUGCCACUAUUUUUCCAUAUGGAAAGCCAGUGAUAUAACGGCCCUGGUCUGUGAGAUCUGUAGGACCCGUCUAGUGCACUCACCAGCCGUCAGGCAGGCGCACUACGGAAAAAGGCCUACUGUAAUCACAGACACUCGGCUUAGAUUAUUUUUUGUCCCACACAAAAAAGUGAAAAUCCCGCCUGAUUUUUGCCAGGUUACCCGCUGAAUUUAA